UUCCGAUAAGUUACAAAUAAUAUCUGCAACGUAAUGAUUUGAUUCGUCGAGGUCAAUAGAAGUAGGUAUGACUACGUGUUUAAUUUUUGUUUUUAAUAGACUUUCGUUAUGUUCUUCAAUUUUAGUAUCAAAUUUUAUUAAUCUAUUAUUUAAAGUUUUUAUGCAUUUAGAAUAUGUGUCAUCGUUGCUGACGUUACUAUCGACAGAUGGCGGAGUGGGAAUAUUAAAAUCCUCCGGCAGUUCUAAAUCUUCAGGGAGUACAAAGUCAUCUGGUAAGUCAAGGUUGUCAGGUAAAUCAAUAGUUUCAGGUAAGUUUUCAAGUCUAUUAGAAUCAGCUGUAGGAUUUUGAUCAUUUUGUUCUUGUACAGGGUUAACUGGAUAUCUCGAGAGUGCAUCUGCAUUUGAAUUCAUUUUACCCUUUUUAUAUUGAAUUUCAUAGUCGUAUUCUUCUAAUUUUAGACGCCAACGUACUAACCUCGAUCCGGGGUCUUUACAGUUGAAAAGCCAAUUCAGAGGCUUAUGGUCUGUGAUUACCGUAAACCGACGACCAAACAGAUAGGGACGGAAGGUCUUUGUGCCGUAGACGAUUGCUAAACAUUCUUUUUCGGUAACACUGUAAUUACAUUCUGCCUUAUUUAAUGUUCGGGAUGCGUAAGCGAUGGGUCUAUCUUUACCUAUAUCGCCUUGUGAGAGAACGGCUGAGAUGGCAUAAUUAGAUGCAUCACAAGUUAAAAGGAACGGUUUUGUAAAAUCUGGAUAUAUAAGAAUCGGAGCUGUGACUAGUUUUUCUUUAAGUUGUUCAAAAGCUAAUUGUUGACUAUUUGUCCAAUUAAAAGGAACAUCUUUCUUGAGGAGAUUUGUUAAUGAUUUAGCAUAUUUUGAAAACUCUGGAAUAAAACGACGAUAGUAAGAAGCUAAGCCAAGGAAAGACU
rnacentral:misc_RNA from 1 species